rnacentral:rRNA from 1 species
AUUGAACGCUGGCGGCAGGCCUAACACAUGCAAGUCGAACGAGUGGCGGACGGGUGAGUAAUGUCUGGGAAACUGCCCGAUGGAGGGGGAUAACUACUGUAAAAGGUAGCUAAUACCGCAUACCAUCGGAUGUGCCCCGAUGGGAUUAGCUCGUUGGUGGGGUAACGGCGCACCAAGGCGACGAUCCCUAGCUGGUCUGAGAGGAUGACCAGCCACACUGGAACUGAGACACGGUCCAGACUCCUACGGGAGGCAGCAGUGGGGAAUAUUGCACAAUGGGCGCAAGCCUGCUGCAGCCAUGCCGCGUGUAUGAAGAAGGCCUUCGGGUUGUAAAGUACUUGCAGCGAGGAGGCGUUACUCGCAGAAGAAGCACCGGCUAACUCCGUGCCAGCAGCCGCGGUAAUUC